rnacentral:rRNA from 1 species
UACGUAGGGUGCGAGCGUUGUCCGGAAUUACUGGGCGUAAAGAGCUCGUAGGUGGUUUGUCGCGUUGUUCGUGAAAUCUCACGGCUUAACUGUGGAGCGUGCGGGCGAUACGGGCAGACUAGAGUACUGCAGGGGAGACUGGAAUUCCUGGUGUAGCGGUGAAAUGCGCAGAUAUCAGGAGGAACACCGGUGGCGAAGGCGGAUCUCUGGGCCGAUACUGACGCUGAGGAGCGAAAGCGUGGGGAGCGAACAGG